CAGUCGCCGCGGUAAUACGGAGGGGGCUAGCGUUGCUCGGAAUUACUGGGCGUAAAGCGCACGUAGGCGGCUUGGUAAGUUAGAGGUGAAAGCCCGGAGCUCAACUCCGGAAUUGCCUUUAAGACUGCCGAGCUAGUAGGUGAGAGAGGUAAGUGGAAUUCCGAGUGUAGAGGUGAAAUUCGUAGAUAUUCGGAAGAACACCAGUGGCGAAGGCGGCUUACUGACUCAUUCUAGACGCUGAGGUGCGAAAGCGUGGGGAGCAAACAGGAUUAGAUACCCCGGUAGUCCCUGUCUCUUAUAC
rnacentral:rRNA from 1 species